rnacentral:rRNA from 1 species
AAAAGCCUCUAAGCUUCAGAUUGUAAGGAAUCGUACCCCAAACCGACACAGGUGGUCGGGUAGAGAAUACCAAGGCGCUUGAGAGAACUCGGGUGAAGGAACUAGGCAAAAUGGUACCGUAACUUCGGGAGAAGGUACGCUCUCGACGGUGAAGUCCCUCGCGGAUGGAGCUAUUGAGAGUCGCAGAUACCAGGUGGCUGCAACUGUUUAUUAAAAACACAGCACUGUGCAAAAUCGUAAGAUGACGUAUACGGUGUGACGCCUGCCCGGUGCCGGAAGGUUAAUUGAUGGGGUUAGACUUCGGUCGAAGCUCUUGAUCGAAGCCCCGGUAAACGGCGGCCGUAACUAUAACGGUCCUAAGGUAGCGAAAUUCCUUGUCGGGUAAGUUCCGACCUGCACGAAUGGCGUAAUGAUGGCCACGCUGUCUCCACCCGAGACUCAGUGAAAUUGAAAUCGCUGUGAAGAUGCAGUGUACCCGCGGCUAGACGGAAAGACCCCGUGAACCUUUACUACAGCUUGGCACUGAACAUUGACCCUACAUGUGUAGGAUAGGUGGGAGGCUUUGAAGCACGUACGCCAGUAUGUGUGGAGCCGUCCUUGAAAUACCACCCUUGUAGUGUUGAUGUUCUAACGUCGACCCCUAAUCGGGGUUGCGGACAUUGCCUGGUGGGUAGUUUGACUGGGGCGGUCUCCUCCCAAAGAGUAACGGAGGAGCACGAAGGUGGGCUAAUCACGGUUGGACAUCGUGAGGUUAGUGCAAUGGCAUAAGCCCGCUUGACUGCGAGAAUGACAAUUCGAGCAGGUGCGAAAGCAGGUCAUAGUGAUCCGGUGGUUCUGAAUGGAAGGGCCAUCGCUCAACGGAUAAAAGGUACUCCGGGGAUAACAGGCUGAUACCGCCCAAGAGUUCAUAUCGACGGCGGUGUUUGGCACCUCGAUGUCGGCUCAUCACAUCCUGGGGCUGAAGUCGGUCCCAAGGGUAUGGCUGUUCGCCAUUUAAAGUGGUACGCGAGCUGGGUUUAGAACGUCGUGAGACAGUUCGGUCCCUAUCUGCCGUGGGCGUUGGAAGAUUGAAGGGGGCUGCUCCUAGUACGAGAGGACCGGAGUGGACGAACCUCUGGUGUUCGGGUUGUGUCGCCAGACGCAUUGCCCGGUAGCUAAGUUCGGAAUCGAUAACCGCUGAAAGCAUCUAAGCGGGAAGCGAGCCCUGAGAUGAGUCUUCCCUGAUACUUUAAGUAUCCUAAAGGGUUGUCGGAGACUACGACGUUGAUAGGUCAGGUGUGUAAGUGCUGUGAGGCAUUGAGCUAACUGAUACUAAUUGCCCGUGAGGCUUAACCAUACAACACCCAAGGGGUUU